AACUAGGCCCCCACCCAACAGUGAUACAUUAGUUAUUCUCACAAACAAUAAAUAAAUACAUUGUGUAUUAAGAUGUUUCAGUCCUUCUACUGAUAUUUUGUUUACUUCCCAGAACCAAAUCAUGAUCCGGUUAUUCAGGAAUAUAUUUUUUAAUAUAUCGAUGCUCAUCAUUGCCAUGUCUGGCUGUCUGGUUCAUGCUACACAGAAGCUUAGAUCUGUAAUCAAGCUAUGGAAGAGAGUACUGUAAGAGACACUUCUAUAAGCAGAGAUAUGUGCCUGAAUUUACACCUUAAUUAUACCUCAAUUAGUUGAAGAGCUCUCCUGGCUUAAGAUCUUUCUAGGAUAAUUGCGUUGUUAAAUCUGAAGGAUUCACUCAUGUGCCAAAGCCAGCUCGGGGAAGCCUUCCUGAACUCCUGGUCGACCACGACAACCACGACACGAUCUUAAGCAAGCGGAACACUGAAGGAGGAUCUUGGGGAUGACGGAGGCGUCGAUGACAACCUCAAAGGCGAGAGAUUGAACGGGCACUUGAUUUGUUAGGACGAAAGGCUGAACCAAUGAAAGCUGCAGGUUCAAUUGCUUUUGCAGCAGAACUGCGAACAUCAUCAGCAUCAGCCUACAGAAAAUCUUUGAGAAGAGU